ACAAAAAAAAAAAAAAAAAAAAAUUGAGCCAAUGAUUUUUUUUUUGAGCCUUGGGAGUUAUCUACUGCCUUUUCAUUAUGGAGUCAUCUCACCUCUCUUUCGUGAUUUCAUUUUUUCAAGUUUUCUCUUUUCCUCUUUCUGUGACAUUAUCAGUCUUCCUGGUUGGCCUUAAAUGUUAUCUUUUCUCUGCUAUUUUUUGUCGUUUUGUUGUCCUUUGGAAGUUUUAGCAAAUCUUUCUUCCAAACUUUUUAUUGGAUUUUUAAUUUAUGCCGUAUUUUUCAUUUCUAAGGUGUUUUUAUUUUAUGAGUAGCCCUUUUGAAAUACGUCCUAUUGCUUCAUGUUUACCAUAUAUUCUCUUCUUCUCUGAUGGUUUUCGCCUUCUUUCACCAUCAAAUUACUUUAAUCUCUUUGCUUUUAAACUCUUUUAUGUUUGAAGCUUUCUUCAAAAGUAUGGUGAUCCUUGGCUAUCGUUUAUAUUUUAAAUUGGGACACUAAAAAGCUUAGCGAUAGCUCUGAGUUGUGGUGGGGCUUGGAGACCCCCUGAGCACAUGCAGGGUGAUAAGGCUGGGCUGUUUAGUUAGAUAACCCAAAUGUCAGUAUCUUGAGGUCUUUUCUUUUGGCUUGUCAGAUUUUUUUCAGAGGAGAAUCUUCUAAUAUCCUGCAUUGUUCUAAAAACCAUGUGCUGAAAAGGCCCAAGAGCUAUAGGGGAGUGUGUUUAAAUAUUUAAUAUUUAAUUUUCCUGCUUCCUGUUUCUGCCUUCAAAUACACCAGGUGUCCCCAUCUCAGAGACCUUUGGUUCUUACUCUUUCAAGAAACCCCCAUUUUUGCUGAGGUAGGAGAGUUUGUUACUUGGUUGCACAAAGGAAGAAAGAGGAUUUUUUUGGGGGGGUCAGGGAGGGCUUCCUAGCUUCCCCUUAGACUUCUGUCCUUUUCUUUAUCCCUGAAUCAUCAACCCUUGAUGCUUCUAAUUCUUGAGACUUUGGGGAUCUAUGUGUAUUGGAAAAUGGGCUACAGCCUAGCUUACUCCUUUGGGACAAAGCUUUCCUGGUUCUGCAAGGUCAGUUGUAUUUCUCCUGUUUGCUAAUUUACAGCAUUCUGUGGUUGUCAUUUCCUCUCCAGUUCUCUUUUCCUUCUUAGGUUUGUGUCUUUAAAAAAAAAAAAAAAAAAUCCCUUUAUGUCAAUUAGUGGAAAUGCAGAGAAAGUACAGGAAAAUGUGUAUGUUUAGUUUUCUGUUUUUAAAGUGCUUUUAAUUCUUCCUUCACAUAUAUUUUACUGGGAAAUUGUCCCAGUAUGUUAUUUGCUCUCUUAGUGGUUACUUUUUAAAAGUUUAAGGGAGGGAAGGAAAGUACCACAAUCAUUUUGGAGACAUUUUAGAGCAUUUCUUACUGACAAGGUACUUUUGAACCAGUUGUUACAGGCAUAUAGUUCAAAUUGCAGUGACCUUAAUUCCCAAAGAAUAGCUGUCUAUUUUAGAUUGGGGGGAAUGAGGGAAUUUGAGAAUGUGAAAGGGAUGAGGUGAUGAGGUAAAUUGUGACUAGUGACGGUGGAACAACGCUAGAGAGGAAAGCCCUGGGCCAGGUUGAGCUGGAAAUGAUGUUUUACCGGUAUAGUCAGGAAGCAUGCCUGGAAUGAGAAUCCAGAUUGCUUUUUAGGAAAAGCCCAGACACAAGCAUUGAUGGUCCAAUUCAAAGUGCAAGACACGAUGUUGAAAAAUUGUAAGGGAUGAUAACUCAGAAUCAAAUGGAGGACAGCAAAAGAGGCCUGGGCAGUCCCCUCUUAUGAGAUGCCAUUAGGGUGGUUUGCACAUACGGGAAAAAUAUAAAGGAAUAGUAUCCAUGGUCGUUAAAGUUAUGAAGUAGGCAUUCUUGCUUCCUCCUAGAGAGUAUAUAUUUAUAUAGCCUUUAUUGGAGAUAAUUGGUAAUUAUAUUUUAAACUGUGAAAUAUGGAUUUUCUUUUACUCAGCAGCUCCAUUCCUAGGAUAAUGAUUCCAUAGGAAAGACCAAAAGAUUAAUGUACAAGGAUUUCAUUAUACCAGUGCUUGUAAUAAGGAAAACUGAAGCAACCAAAACGCACAUUGAUAGAGGAUUGCUUAAAUUCAUGAUGGCUUAUCGUGGAGUGCUGAUGUCAAACAAAGGAGAUAAGGUCAGUUGAUAGACAUUGACACAGAAUGCUAUCUAAAAUAUACUGUUCGGUUUUAAAAAUGUUAGAAAGUAAAAGAUAUAGCAUGACCUCAUUUAUGUAUAAAAAUAUAUAAAGUCUUUCAGCUUCAAGUAAUGGAAGUAGUUUGUAUCAGAUUAAACAUCCUACUGAUAAUAACUAUAAACUCUGGUUUUUAUAUAUAUACUUCAAGGUGGUAGAGAAGAACAAAAUCAGGCACAAACUGGAAGAGAUAUAAUUCGCAUGUUGCUGGUUUUUCUCCUGCAGACAUUCCCUAGUCUGCAGAACACAAAGUUAUUGGACUAAAGAGUUAGAGGCCAGACUGCAAGGCUGCUGGAGCAACUGGAAAUUGAAGGGGGCAGGGAAGUCCCAGAAGGUUAGGAGUGAUGGUGGGGGGAGCCCCAGAUCUACGUGCAAAAUCUUCUCAAAACCUUGGCUCGCUCUUCAACUGAAAAUUCGCAGGGCAGGACUCCAAGGAGCAGAGCAGAAAACAACAGCUGGAUGGCUGAAAGAACUGAACAGAGAUUUCAGCAACUGCUUGGUGCUGAGGCGAUAAGAGUUUGAAGUUAAAAUCUCCCAAAUUAGAGGGGCUUGAUAAAUUUGUCUUACAUUUCUAUGAUAUGCCAGAAGCAUCAUGCCUUAGUUAUAAGGACCAUAUUCCAGACUAUGAGCUAAGGACUAAGGAUAAAAAUAAAAUAUAACUAGCCUAACAAAAGCCAGAAACAAGCCUGCAGAGGAGUGAUGUUAUCCACAAGAAAUUUAACUGCCUUCUAGAACAAAACUCAAUACUCCUCAGAGGAAGAUAAUAGAAUUGAGAGUGUCCACAAUGUAUCAUUUACAAUGUCCAGUGCACCAUAACAAUUACCAGACACACAAAGAAGCAGAAAAAUGUGACCCGUAAUAAAGACACCAAAAGAAAAACCCAAAAUAAAAGGAGACCCAUGGUCAAAGCAGAUUUUGAAAUUAGACUAUAGACUUCAAAUUACUAUUAUAAUUAAGUAAUUUACACAAAAGUGGAUUAAUAUGUGAAGACAUGGGGAUUUCAGGAAAGAUACUAAAAUGCUAUAAAAAAGAAAAAGGUAGUAUCUGAAAUAAAAAAAUAUAAAAUCUUAAAAAAACAUUGGGUGGGAUUAACAUCAAUUUGGAGAUGGCCCAAGGAAAGAUCAAGGAACAUGAAGAAAAAUCAACAAAAAAUACCAAACCGAAAAGAGGAAAAAAAAAAAAAAGAAAAUUGACAGGGCCUGAUUACCUAUAGGAAAAUAAGCCAUCUCACAUAUGUGUUAUUCAAAAGGAGAGGGACGAACUCAUGGGGCAAAAAAUAUUCAAUGACAUGAUUGGCUGAAGUUUUCCAAAUUUGAUUAAAAUUAUCAGUCCAUAAAUCUAAGAAACCCAAUAAACCCCAGCAGGGAAAAAAAAAAAAAAAAA